rnacentral:lncRNA from 1 species
CGGCUGCAAAGGUGAUCUAGUCACCGAAUCAUGGAAUGUUAGAGAGCUGGAAGGGACGUCGAAGGACUUCGAGGCCAAUCCUGAGAAUUAACAGAACUAACAUCUGGAGAAGUAAUCCAGAUCUGAGCUCAGAGUGCUGUUCUGGAGUCUCUGUUACUCCAGUCUAGCCCUGUUGCACAGUGGUAUUGACACGAAGUCCUUGGAAACCACCAAUCAUUCUCCAGGGCCAUGAGUUGCUGAGGGAAUAUGGAAGACAGUGGAAUAGUACUCAAGGAAGAAGCCCAAGCCAUGAAAGUCCACCCAGAUGCAGCCUGCUGCUGGGCCUCUGCCUGCCACGCCCGUUCCUGCCUUGACCUUCCACACACUGGUCUCCAAGUCUCAAGUUCUCUGUUAUGUAUCUCUAGCUACACACAACCUGGUAACCUGUUGUAAUUCCC